rnacentral:rRNA from 1 species
UACGUAGGGUGCGAGCGUUGUCCGGAAUUAUUGGGCGUAAAGAGCUCGUAGGCGGUGUGUCGCGUCGGCCGUGAAAACCUGGGGCUCAACUCUGGGCGUGCGGUCGAUACGGGCAUCACUUGAGUUCGGCAGGGGAGACUGGAAUUCCUGGUGUAGCGGUGAAAUGCGCAGAUAUCAGGAGGAACACCGGUGGCGAAGGCGGGUCUCUGGGCCGAUGACUGACGCUGAGGCACGAAAGCGUGGGGAGCAAACAGG